rnacentral:rRNA from 1 species
GACGAACGCUGGCGGCGUGCUUAACACAUGCAAGUCGAACGGAGUGGCGAACGGGUGAGUAACGCGUAAUCAACCUGCCCUUCAGAGGGGCACAACAGGUGGACACGACUGCUAAUACCGCAUACUGAAGGCGGGGAGUGCGUCGGAUUAGCUAGUUGGAGGGGUAACGGCACACCAAGGCGAUGAUCAGUAGCCUGGCUGAGAGGAUGAAUGGCCACAAUGGGAAUGAGACACGGCCCAGUAGCCUAGGGGAGGCAGCAGUGGGGAAUCGUUCGCAAUGGGAGAAAGUCUGACGGAGCAACGCGGCGUGAGUGAGGACGGCCUCCGGGUUGUAAAUCUCGGUUAACCGGGACGCGGUACCGGAAGAGAAAGCAACGGCUAACUACGUGCCAGCAGCCGCGGUAAUAC